rnacentral:rRNA from 1 species
UACGGAGGGGGCGAGCGUUAUUCGGAAUUAUUGGGCGUAAAGGGCGCGUAGGCGGCUUGAUGUGUCAAAGGUGAAAUCCCUCGGCUCAACUGAGGAACUGCCUUUGAAACUGUCUGGCUUGAGGCCGGGAGAGGGUAGCGGAAUUCCCAGUGUAGCGGUGAAAUGCGUAGAGAUCGGGAGGAACACCAAAGGCGAAAGCGGCGACCUGGACAAGCACUGACACUCAACUACGAAAGCGUGGGAGCAAACAGG